CACAGACAAAUACAGUUGCACAAGCAGAAAUGAAUCAAAUGAAAAUGACAUCCAGGUCAACGAGGCAGCGCAGCCCUCAGCAGUUUAACCACGUGAUGGUCCCAAGACCCACAGUGAUGCUGCCAGCACAGCCGCCCACAGAGCCUGCCAAGCAUCCAGAUGCUGCUGGAAGAUGAGGACCUUCCACAGUUGCCAUUUAACUCUUGAGAGGGAGGCCUACAAGAUGUUCCUGGUGCUAUCAUGCUUGGGACUGACGCAAGGUCUGGAAGUGUAGAACUUGGAAGAAGGAAGGAGACUUGGAAUGUGCCACUAAAUUUUCAGUUUGGACACAAAGUGAAAGAUAUUUCCUGCAUAAACUAAUUGAAUGUGGAAACCUAUGGAACCAUGAAACCUUUUUUCCUUCCAAAUGCAUCCUUUGGUGGAAAGGAGUACUAUGUACAAAUGUCCCCUUCUGGAACAGGCCUGGCAUGGCAUUGCCACACAUGCAGUAGCUCUGCCAAACCUGCUACACUUACACAGUUCCCCUCUGUGCUGGCAUGAAUAAAAAUAGGUGAUGAAGAAUCCUUAGGUAUGCUCACAACUGAAAGAAAAUUAAACUGUAUCACUAAAAGAAGUUCUCUUGCCCAUUAGUCCAAGGUAGCUUUUUUUCCCACCAAUCCAUUUCUGAGAUACUCAUUUCUGGACUUACCACACAGCAUCUGCCUUGAGCUAUAGCUGUUUUAGGAUUAUGGAGCUGCAACUCACAUGCUGACUGUGCAAAACAGAAAAUCAUAGGAGAAUACAUGGAAAUUACAAGAAGGAAUGGAAAACAAAUGUUUGAAAAAUAGGGAAUGGUUUAGGUAUCUCGUUGCUUUAAUCCAGGAUGCCUCUACUACUCUGACCACCUCAUUUACCAGUUAGAUUUUGAUCUCACUUAAUACUCAUUUGUGUUUUAAGAUACAGCUAAUCCAUUUAAUCUCAGCACUUUCCAAUAAAUUAGGAAAGAGGUAACAAAGACUUCAGGAAUCCGCAGAAUACUUCAGCUAGCAAAAUAUAAAUUAUGUACCAGUACAUUAUCAACUGUUGUAUCCUAAAAUUUCUGGACAAGCCUUAUUGUGCCUAUAAACUUCUUUCAUAGGAAUAUGAACCAUCAUCUAAACAAUUUUGCUGGAAUAAAAGAGCAUUUGCUGAUUGAAAGCAGAGGACUGAUUCAAGAUGAAUCUUGGUGAGGUAUGAGAUGUGUUGUUACCAUAGUGAACAAAGAGCAGAGAGAAGGGCAAUGGGAAACUGAGAAUGGGAAAAUGAAGUUUUGCACUGGUGGUGUGAACUCACACAUCUCCAUGGAACUUCAGGUCUGUGAAUAGAAGAGAAUAUGUUGAAAAUAUUGAACAUGAUAUUAAAUAAUCCAGAAGAACUGAAUGAUACCUAGCAUGUAGUCCUGUUUGCUCAUACCCCAGGAGCUUACAGCUCACAUAUCUUCUAUGGAAAUCCACCAUUCCCUAGGCCUUGGUAUUUCAGCAGUUCUGUCUUACCAUAAGGUAGCUCUGGAAAGUUUCUGUGGAUGGUAGACCUGAAAGGGUUAAGUGCUGCUUUUGGUUUUUCUCUUGUCCAAAUGACCUAUGAGUUCUGCCAUCCAGUGAACUGUUCAACUGUCAUUUAAAACAGCCACUCAAUAGCACUUUAAAUUAACAGAAGUGGAGGUGAUAGGAUUAUCAUUAAAAUGUGAAAUCAAAAAUAAUUUUGUAUUUAUUAACCGCUUAUAAUAAGAUUAAUAGUAUAUGAUUAGUCACAGUCUGAGAGACAUAAAGAUUUUUUUCAUACUGUAUUUAAACAAAAUUAUUUAAGAAAAUUUUAUAUAUGCAAGCCCAAAAUGUGCAUAUUUGAGUGCAUAUCCUCUCAUUCUGGCACACUACUAAUUUAUGAAGGCAUGGAUUCUGCAAGCACAUUUAUCUUUAAUUUCAUUUAGAAGACCAUUGAUACCAAAAAUACCAGAGAUGUACAAAUACACUGUUUUGAACAUGCUUGUAUUUAAUCUAGUGUAAUACAGACACAAGACUGACUGAAAUAUCACUUAGCCUAUUGUACUAGCUAUAAUAAUAAUAUAAAUACAGCCAAUAAUAGUUUGUACUUCCUUAUGUGUAUGUACAUAUAUAUAUCAAGUAAUAAAUUAGCACCAGAAAAACUAUUGUAAUCAACAAUCUGCAAUAAAUUAUGAUAUUUUUAAUACUGUAUUCAUACUGGGAAAAUCCAGGGCAGGACAUUAUUUUCUUCUAAUUGCAUUCCCUAAGUGCAGGAGUUGUAACAAAACAACAGAUGCUAGGCAUAGCUAGAGAUAUGAAUCUUUGAUUUGUUUUUAUAACUGCUCUGACAUUUAGGCUGUGGGCUUUAAGAGGAGAUUCCAAGGCAAAUGUUUUCAUCAUCAUCUGACUCAUUUUUGCCUGGAGGAAAUACCAAUUUAAAAAAAAGAGAUAAAUAAGCAGCAGCAGGAGAUUAUUGUUAGGCAAAAUUUCCUCUGGUGGUUCCGCUGUGUUUAUCAUGUUCUGCUGAACACUAACUUUUACUGAGAAUUACACACUUUCUCCCUCUCAUACACCAUAUUUAUCUUGAUUUGUGUUUGUGAUUGUACACAAAGGUUCAAACAGUCCUUAUAAAUCAUUUCACUUGUCUAAUAUUGCCCUUAUGGGGAAAUUACAUGUUCACUGGGAGACAGUAGCAACUAAUAGAAGAAGCCAGCAAAGAAAACGUGCAAAAAACUCUCCAACAAAUCACAAGCAAAAUGUCAUUGCGUUUAAUUACUCUCCCCAGCAAAAUAAGCACAUGAUGGUGCCUGCAUGUAGUGAUGAAUAUAGCAUGUGAUUAGCACUGAAUGUAAAGGCAUGCACUGCCAAGGGGAAAAUGCUCAUCUUCUAUAAUAAAUUCUCUACUAGAUUUUGAGAGAUAUUGCAGACCCUAUGCACACAGAGCCCCAGAGUAAGUUCAGGACCAGCCUUUCCUUCCAGGUUACAAUUUGAUUUUUUUAAUUGUUGGUGCUGGAUCUUCAAUGCUCUCCUAUGUCUGUGCUUUUCAGAUCAGUUUACCAAAGAGUAUGAAGUACAAAAUUUUCUUUGAACAUAGAUUUUAAUAGAUAAUUAUUCCAUACUCAAUGGUAGACAUUUAUUAAAUAUAACUGUGUUUUGUAAAUCAGUUCUGAAUUGGAAAAAGAUUUGUAACACCUCACAAAUAUGUACAAUGAAAAUUAGACAUUUUCCUCUGCUUAGAGGAAGAAAGAUCUGAAAUGGUUUUUUCCUAUAGAAACUGAAGUCUGUCCAAAUCUAGUCUGCUGAUUGGGCCCCAUAAUUUGUGUAUGACAGGGUUCUCAUACAUUCCUCCCUGACUGCAGCAGGAGUCUUCAGAUCUUUGCAAUGUGAACACAAUUAUUUAAGGGAUACAAAAAUGCAGUCUUUUAGAUGAAGAAACUGCUUCAUUUAGUGAUCCACAGGGAGUCUUUACGGGGAGAAGUGGAUGUGAUAACUACUAGAUCAGCUGUGUUUAAAUUCUGAAUUAAUGUUAGUUUUUUUUCAAGUGUUAUAAAAUAAGAAAAUACUUAAAGGGGGGGUGGUUUGAGUUUUGAGUAAAAGGGCUACAGAAUAGUCAUGUGAGAUGAAGAAUGAGAAUUGUGGACAGCUUAUUACACGUUGCCUGUGCCAAUUCUUCUUCCUCAGGAAAAGGACUCCUCACACUCUUCCUCUGCUCCAGCAUGGGAUCCUUCCUGUGGAACACAGCUCUCCAUGGACUUCUCCAAUGCGAGUCCUUCCCAUGACCUGCAGCUCUUCAUGAACUGCUACAGUGUGGGUCCCCCAUGGGGUCACAAGUGUGGGCUCCUCUAUGCACAAACCCUCCAGGUCCUGCCAGGAGUCUGCUCCAGUGCAGGUUUCCCACAGACAUCUGCCUGCUCCACUGUGGAAUCCUCCACAGGCUGCAAGUGGAGCUCUGCUUCCCCCAUGGACCUCCAUGGGCUGCAGGGGCACUGCUGCCUCACCAUGGGCCGCACCAUGGGCUGCAAAGGAACCUCUGCUCUGGCACUCAGAGUACCUCUUCCCACUCCUCCUACACUUACCUUGCUGUCUGCAGAGUGGCUCCCCUCAGCCUGAUUCCCCUCUCCUGGCUGCAGUUGCCAUUGCAGAGGGGGUUUUCCCCUCUUUAUUAAAUCCAUUUCCCCAGAGAUGCUACCACCAUCACUGGUAGGCUUGGCUGUGGCCAGUGGUGAGUCCCCCCUGGAGCUGACUGGCAUUGGAUCUGCCAGACAUGGGGGAAGUUUCUGGAAGGUUGUGACAGAAGCCACCCCUGUAGCUCCCAAAAACCUCACCAUGCAAACCCAGUAUGCUGGGUAUUGCAAAAUAUUGGCCAAUUUUUUCUCCUGCUUACUUACAGAGUGAAAACCCAGUAUGUGGUAGCUACGCCUUUGAGAGUCCAUAUUUGUCAGAACACGUUGCAGUUAAGAUUGCAUGUACCAAAAUGCCUGUUUCACAUCCUUUGGGAAUUUUGACCGUACCUUUCUGCACAGCCAUGCCUACAGUCUCUUCUCUGGGGGCUCUAAGUAGAAAACAGAGAGGUCUACAGACUCCUUGAGCCCUUUCUCUUGUGGGAGACCAGCAAGAAUGGACCUCGUAGGUAUUUGUUUGGAGUUUAGACUAAUUUUUUUUUUUGCAAAUGAGGAUCUUCCAAAAACAGAGCAAAAAAUUAGUUCAGUAUCCACACUGUUGUUGAAUAAACAGAAGCUAAAUAAAACAUACCUCAAAUGUUAUCCCUUUCUUAAAAUGAAAGACACAUCUGAAUGAUUUUCCACAUAUAAGGUAAUAGAUAUUUUGAGUGAUUCAGACAAACAAGUACUCUAGAUAUUAACAGGGGAAAUGAUCUUUCAUGUGUGUUUUUAUUGUGUUUUCUUUUCUUCACUCUUUUGACGUGUUUUGUAAAGAAUUUCACUAUGAAACUCAGAAGAAAAUUCUGCAUCACUUAAGGAUAUGUAGAGCUCCUACCUGAGAAUGACAUGGAUUAACUUGCAGAAUGAAAUCUGGCAGUAUUUCUACUCUUCUGAAGAGCUUGAAGAAGGAAUCAUAGCUUCAAAUUCCUGUUCCUAGCAUUUAAGAUCUAUCUUACAGGCUGGAAAUAAUAAAUAACUUCUAGAAGUUUUUCAGAAAUUGUUUUGAAAAUAAAAAAUUCUGACAUCCAUAUGAAGUGUUUGCAAAAUGAGUUUGUGCUCUGAUUCUCCAGAGUUGUACAAGAUCUGUUGCUAAAAAGGAAAU